UUUAAGUUGCCAUAGCUGAGGAUGGCGUUGCCUCACAUUGAUCACACAAGAUAACCGUCAAACUGCUGGCCACACGGCAUGGACUCCUCCAGUGAAUUUGACACCUAUGACAGACCCACGGGGCAUCGAUCGCGGGUCAGAAAGCGCCGAACGAGGCCUGACAGCAGGUUUCCCAGGGAUACUCGUGUAUCAGACAUAUCAGACAAAAUUGACACUUUAGCAAACACUCUACAAGAUACAAGUCGAAAUUUAAACAAAGUAGAUCGGAUGUUGGGGGAGUAUAAGGAACACACAGAUGACCAAGCUGAAACCAUGGCGACAGUGAGUAUCGGUACAGCACAAAAUGGAAUUGUCUCUGAUUUCAGAUAAAGGUGUUGUAUUGAGAGCAUGCCCUGUGUUCUAGCUAAGAGAAAGCUUAGAGGGAUCCAACCAGCAUCUGCAGGCACCGCAGCUGAGAAAAUCCAUUCGUGGGUGGAGCGCCUCCCUCUCCACGCAGCACACCAGUGACCUGGAGGAUG